UCUCGCCCCCUCCGCCAAGUGUCCGCGCCGCUCGUGCACCUACACGGGGAGCUAACCGAUGGGCAAGAUUUUGGAGCAUCCGUACGAAGGAUUGAACCCUUUGGAAAAAAAAAACGCACGAAACAAGAUAAAAUCUGAACAGAACAACAAGAAAAAGAAGGAUAUCUCUAAUGAAACGCACAAGGCUUACAGGACAUAAUUAUCAUCUGUAAUUGUUUUUUUUUUCGGAAAAUUGCAUCAAAACGAGAUUUGAAAAAAGAAGAAAAAAAUCCCCAUCUGUUAAAGUGGCUUUUUAAUUCUCUUGGAAUGUAGGAAUCGGAUAGUUCUUCAAAUCAGAACUGAAUCGCCUCCAGUCAAUUCUACUGUCUUUUUAAACUGUAGUAGCCACCUGCCCCUCGGCACAGGACUGCAUGUCACACCCCUCGGCACCGAA